GCGUUGGAGCACCAAGAAGACAGGCAGCACUGACAGUAGCAGAAGAGUAGGAGGUGGCUGUGGCACCCCACGCCGAGCAGGAGCGGGAGGAGUUCCUGGGCGAUGGGGCCGCAGCCUGGGCCGAUGCUGACCAUGGGAUGAGAUCAUUCUUCACUCUGCACCGUGACCAUCAGGGGGCGCCCCAACCACCUUUUCUGCCCCACAUCGUGCUCUUGCAGUGUUCUCCCCGCAGGUGCUGCAUGGAGUGAGUGGCGGCAUCCACCGUGAGGAGGAGAGGAGCUCUGAUACCCUCAGGACCCGCCAGGAGGGGCAUCACGGAGGCUUCUGGACGACUUGGAGCUGUGUCCUGGGGAGAAAACCGCUCCUGUCUGGGCCCUGAGUGCUGAGGAGGAAGCUGCCAUGCACUUUUCCCUGGCAUUUUUCCUGCAUGGUGAGUACAGAAGCUUUAGUUUUCUGGUAUGUUCUGUUCAUUCCUCUCCUGUUCUCCCUGGUUUUCCUCUUUCUCUUGUAGUGUUUUAGUAUUUAUUUUACAGUGGUAUUCAUUCUCUGAAGGCUUUUGAGGGUGUCAAGACCAGAGUUACCCAGCUGUGGCAUAGAAAACCAAAAUGUGUUUCGCCAAACUCACUGUAACUUUGUUUCCAUAACCGAUCCCUCCCAUCCCCCUCCUAUCCCCCUCCUUCCCCUCUCCUCAGGAAACCGCUACUGUACCUUCUGCUUGAAGGUAAAGUUUUUUGGAUUCCAUAUAAGUGAGAUCACAUAGUGUUUGCCUUUCUCUACCUAGUCGAUUUCAUUUAAUGUAAUGUCUUCCAGGUUCGUCUGUGUUUUUGCAAAUGACAUGUUGUCAUGAAUUUUUAUGCAUGAGGCAUAUUUCAUCAUGUCUGUAUGCUGAAGUCCCUUCAUCCUUUCAUUGGUUGGUGGACAGGUAGGUUGAUUUCAUACCUUGGUUACUCAUUGUUAGUGAGUAGUAGGUCACUAAACCUCAGAAGGCAGCUGUUGCUUCAACAGACCGAUCUCAUUUUCUUUAAGCUCACAACCACGGUUAGAAUUACUAGAUGAAACAGUUCUUGCAUUUUUAAUUUCUGAGGGUGCUCCAAGUGGUUUUCUCAGUGCGUUUCAUCAUUGAAAUUUCUCCCAAUAGUGUAUAAGAGGAUCUCUAUAUCUAACAGCACCCUGAACUUUUAUUUUUAAAUUAUUUCUGUUUUGGUAUUAUUCAUUUUACUUAGCGUUAGAUAGUAUCUGAGUGUGGUCUUUAUUUACAGUUUUGUGAUGACCAGUGAUGUUGAGAAACACCUUUUUUACCUUUUAAUCAAUAUCAUACCUUCUUUUCAGAAAUGUCUGUUAUUCAGGUUUUUUUGCCCAGUUUUUUUGGGGGUAUUGGGUCUUGUAUGUUUUGUCCCUCUGUAGUGUUAGUUUCUGCUGUUGUCAGAUAACACUCCCUUUCAGAUAUAUGAUUCCUCAUAAUUUCCUUUUUUUGAUGUGUAAAAAGAUAAACCUAUUGUGGCAACAGCCAAGAACGGUAAUAAUCAAAUGCAGGAAUUAGGUGCCAUUUAUAUUUCCCCACUCAGAGUAUAAGACUUCCUGCCUCACAGAAGUAAAUGAGAUUUUUCUGUGCAUAUAGUAAAAUUUUACUUUUCAUAUUUUAAUUUUUCGUGUCCUAAAAAGUUAACACAAUUUAAUUAAAAAUUAAAGCCACUAAAACAUUUAUGUAACAAUUUCUUUUUAAAUUUUAC
rnacentral:lncRNA from 1 species